GUGCUCACUUCAGCAGCACAUAUACUAAAAUUAGAAUGACACAGAGAUUAACGUGGCCCCUGCACGAGGAUAACACGGAAAUUCAUGAAGCGUUCCAUAUUUUU